rnacentral:rRNA from 1 species
CUUCGGGUGGAGCGGCGGACGGGUUAGUAACGCGUGGGAACAUACCCUUUACUAAGGAAUAGCCACUGGAAACGGUGAGUAAUACCUUAUACGCCCUUCGGGGGAAAGAUUUAUCGGUGAAGGAUUGGCCCGCGUUAGAUUAGAUAGUUGGUGGGGUAACGGCCUACCAAGUCUACGAUCUAUAGCUGGUUUGAGAGGAUGAUCAGCAACACUGGGACUGAGACACGGCCCAGACUCCUACGGGAGGCAGCAGUGGGGAAUCUUAGACAAUGGGCGCAAGCCUGAUCUAGCGAUGCCGCGUGAGUGACGAAGGUCUUAGGAUCGUAAAGCUCUUUCGCCAGGGAUGAUAAUGACAGUACCUGGUAAAGAAACCCCGGCUAACUCCGUGCCAGCAGCCGCGGUAAUACGGAGGGGGUUAGCGUUGUUCGGAAUUACUGGGCGUAAAGCGUACGUAGGCGGAUCAGAAAGUUGGGGGUGAAAUCCCAGGGCUCAACCCUGGAACUGCCUCCAAAACUAUUGGUCUAGAGUUCGAGAGAGGUAAGUGGAAUUCCGAGUGUAGAGGUGAAAUUCGUAGAUAUUCGGAGGAACACCAGUGGCGAAGGCGGCUUACUGGCUCGAUACUGACGCUGAGGUACGAAAGUGUGGGGAGCAAACAGGAUUAGAUACCCUGGUAGUCCACACCGUAAACGAUGAAUGCCAGUCGUCAGAGGGCUUGCCCUU